rnacentral:rRNA from 1 species
CCUACGGGAGGCAGCAGUGGGGAAUAUUGGGCAAUGGGCGCAAGCCUGACCCAGCAAUGCCGCGUGAAGGAAGAAGGCUUUCGGGUUGUAAACUUCUUUGACAGGGGAAGAGCAGAAGACGGUACCCUGAAAACAAGCCACGGCUAACUACGUGCCAGCAGCCGCGGUAAUACGUAGGUGGCAAGCGUUGUCCGGAUUUACUGGGUGUAAAGGGCGUGUAGCCGGGAAGGCAAGUCAGAUGUGAAAUCUGGAGGCUCAACCUCCAAAUUGAAUUUGAAACUGUUUUUCUUGAGUACUGGAGAGGAAGAAGGAAUUAAUUGUGUAGAGGUGAAAUGAGUAGAUAUAAGGAGGAAAACCAGUGGAGAAGGAGGUAUGAUGGAAAGAAAAUGAAGGUGAGGAGAGAAAGAGUGGGGAGAAAAAAGGAUUAGAUAAAAGAGUAGGC